CUGUGGUGCAUUGUAGUUGCAUUGCAUGAUCCAGAACCUGAGUGCAAUGUGUCUGCAGUGCAGUACAG
rfam:Tetraodon nigroviridis chromosome undetermined SCAF14653, whole genome shotgun sequence.